AUACUCCAGUCGGUCUAUUUUUAACCUAGAAAAAAUUGCAAAAGAAUUGAUUCCGUAUGGGUCGUAUUCUCCUAUGUCUAAUUAAUACAAAGUGUUAUUUUCAAGUCUCAACUCAAUGGGGAAAGUGUUAAAAUUAAACGCUAAAAAUGGCGAAAAAUGCGAAUUUUUCUGAUGUCAAAUAAAGUACACCAUACAUGGUUUUCCAAUAAAUAUGACGUCAUAAAGUGACGUGCAACAGUACAACAUGGCGGGCAAAGUCAGUUUGACAGUUCUGCUGAUCGAUGUGGUAUCAACUGUGAUUUAAGGUUAUAAAGACGGUCACGUUGAUCAAUGAAAUACAGAUUGCGGAAGAAAUCAGUUACUCUUGUUUAAUGUGGCUUGUUACCUGCAAAUAUCAUUACUAUGGUUCAUACAUCGACGAGGGAAGUUGAAAGAAGGCAGUGGGGGCUGGUCAUUGGGAAUUUUUUAAGCAAAGGGCAAUGUAUGAUGGAUGACGGGCGAAAAGCAGAAGUUUAAGAUCGGAUGAGACGUUUGAUAUUAAGUGUGACUGCUUUUUCAACGCUAAAUCGGACAAAAAGUUUAAGAUCGGAUGAGACGUUUGAUAUCAAGUGUGACUGCUUUUUCACGCCUACGCUAAAUCGUAUAAAUCAGAUAUAAGGCGAGCAAAUCAGACAAAGAAAGUAGGUGAUAUCAAGAAGAAUGUCCUUGGACCAGAGUUAUGCAACAUGCUUCCGUUCAUGCAUGCAUACACAGGUUGUGAUGCGACUUCUAUGAUAUAUGGUAUCAGCAAAGAAGCCGUACUGAAGCUUUCAGAACCAGUCCCAAGUUCAGACAGGUCAUUGAGAAAUUUAAUGAAGAAGAACCAGACGUUAACAAGAUAACAACUCGUAGAAAAGAGGCAAUAAUUCUUCUCAACAACGGUGAUACUUGAGAAGGGCUCGAUAUCCUGAGAUUCCGGAAGUUUACCAAGAAGGUUUGCACAACUUGUCAAGCAAAACGGCUUCCUUUCGCUUUCAAUCACUGCGCACAUACCUACAGGCACAGAUAUGGCGUGGGAACAACACACUGGAUGCAGUAGAUUGGGGCUGGGAUAUAUCCAACAACAAAUUAAUUCCAGUAAGGAAACAUCUUCUGUCUGCUCCUGAACCUCUACUCAAAGUAAUAAGCUGUAAUUGCCAACAAAGUUGUGACUCACAACGAUAUAUACGUGCAGGAAACAUGGACUUGAUUGUUCACAAGGCUGUGGGAACUGUCGAUGAAACUGUUCAAAUUCCUCCGACGUCAAUGAUCAUGACGAAAUUGUGUCUGAGACCUGAACGUAUUAUAUGUACGACCUGUAUAAAGAUUUAAAAAAUGUAAAAGGAUUCAAUGCAUUUAUGAAAAUAUUUGAAAGCAUUCAGUUUUUUCAAUAAUUAUACACAUCAUUUAUUGGCAUGUUUCCGUAACAAAUGGCAUUGACACGUUAUAAUUGAUGCAAUAUGUAUAUAAGUACAGAGUAUAGAUUUAAAUAAUUAUAUUUAGUCUUUAGAAUGCAGUACGUUUAGUGUGCGCAUAUAUAUUUAUUGUUUCAAAUUAGACAAUGCCAGAUUUUCCAAUGUGUUUAUUUGAUUGUGGAUGUUUAUUUUCUAUAAUACGUAUCAAAAUAGAUCUGUAUAUGUGAAAAACUUUGAAAUACAAAAAUAUACUUUAAUCAUUCAUUUAAUAAAUGAUUAAACUAUA